rnacentral:tRNA from 1 species
AGGGGUAUAGCUCAACUGGUAGAGCACCGGUCUCCAAAACCGGCGGUUGGGGGUUCGAGUCCCUCUGCCCCUG